AAGUAGUGAGCAGCAAAAUUUGGGACCAAGAAACGAAUUGCUCCAUCUCUAGUCUUUGCAGCAACCAGUGAGACAGCAACUCGUUGCGUCUCGCCUCAUCAAGGAUCACAGCUGCGUUCUCUCUCUAUAAAGCGUCGUCGGAGAAGUUGGAGAGGGAGAUUGCGCCUGGAGUUCAAUUACUUAUGUUGAUUUUGAUUUACGGGCAUGAAUACCGGGUCAUACAACGCAGCACUGAUUGAAAAGGGAAAAGAAGUCGGUCCUGAUCUGCAUCUGCAAAAGUUCUCACCGUCGAUAAUUGCACCUGUAAUGGGAUUGGGUUGUUAUCCCCUGAACUUCAGUUUCUAAAUAUUACAACUUGGAAUACCAAAAUUUUUGAGUGAUUCCAAGUGGCUUAGUUUCUUGAUAGAUGUAGAAGUUGAGACUGUAUGUUGACUGUAGUCCAUAGUUGAUUUUAAGCUACCAUCAUGCUUGUCUGAUAUUGUAGAAUUGGUGUGGAUGUAAGAGCAGUUAAGUUAUAUUUCUAUUUCUUUUUCAUUUUUGUUGUUGGAA